rnacentral:rRNA from 1 species
GACGAACGCUGGCGGCGUGCUUACCCCAUGCAAGUCGAACGGAGUGGCGAACGGGUGAGUAACACGUGUGUGACAUGCCCUGCAAUUCCGGAUACGCCUGGGAAAAUGGGUCUAAUACCGGAGAGUUUGGGAUGGGCCCGCUGCCUAUCAGCUUGUUGGUGGGGUAAUGGCCUACCAAGGAGGCGACGGGUAGCCGGCCUGAGAGUGUGGACGGCCACAUUGGGACUGAGACACGGACCAGACUCCUACGGGAGGCAGCAGUGGGGAAUAUUGCACAAUGGGCGGAAGCCUGAUGCAGCGACGCCGCGUGGGGGAGGACGGCCUUCGGGUUGUAAACUACUUUCACCAUCGACGCGGUAGAUGGCGAAGAAGCACCGGCUAACUACGUGCCAGCAGCCGCGGUAAUAC